AAAAAUACUUUCUUCAAGUGUAUUUAAAGUUCAUAGAAAUAAGAAGGUGUGGUAUAUAUGAGACAGAGUGUCAAUGAUACAACUCUCCAUGAGGUCACAAUGUGUAAAAAAUAAACAGUUGUACUUAUUAGGUCUAAGUACGGACCUCAACCUCGGAGCCUUUGCUCACAUCGAACGACAGUCUAUAAAGAGCCCAAAAUGACUAGUAUAAAACACGAUCU
rnacentral:lncRNA from 1 species